rnacentral:misc_RNA from 1 species
GGGGAGUUCGUGUCUCAGUAGAACCACCA